AUGUAGCGCAUGUCUUGCGGGUAAGAAGCUGCGUUCAGGUUCGAGCCGAGCGAAGCGAGACAGCAACGCGUCAGCGUUGACCCGAAGGGUGAGGCCGAAGGCCGAGUCAUCCCGCACGACCAACCA
rnacentral:sRNA from 1 species